GGGUCUGUAGUUCAAUUGGGAGAACACCAUCCUUGCAAGAUGACAGUCGUAGGUUCAAAUCCUAUCAGGUCCAC
rnacentral:tRNA from 2 species